rnacentral:rRNA from 1 species
GAUGAACGCUAGCUACAGGCUUAACACAUGCAAGUCGAGGGGAAACGACAUCGAAAGCUUGCUUUUGAUGGGCGUCGACCGGCGCACGGGUGAGUAACGCGUAUCCAACCUGCCCACCACUUGGGGAUAAGCUUGCGAAAGUAAGACUAAUACCCAAUGAUAUCUCUAGAAGACAUCUGAAAGAGAUUAAAGAUUUAUCGGUGAUGGAUGGGGAUGCGUCUGAUUAGCCUGUUGGCGGGGUAACGGCCCACCAAGGCGACGAUCAGUAGGGGUUCUGAGAGGAAGGUCCCCCACAUUGGAACUGAGACACGGUCCAAACUCCUACGGGAGGCAGCAGUGAGGAAUAUUGGUCAAUGGGCGAGAGCCUGAACCAGCCAAGUAGCUUGCAGGAUGACGGCCCUAUGGGUUGUAAACUGCUUUUAUAAGGGAAUAAAGUGAGUCUCGUGGGACUUUUUGCAUGUACCUUAUGAAUAAGGACCGGCUAAUUCCGUGCCAGCAGCCGCCGUAA